rnacentral:ncRNA from 2 species
AUCAUUCACCAGGGGUGCCCCGGCAAGGGGCUGAGAUUCUGCUGGCUUUCGCAGCGCAGUGACCCGUUGAACCUGAUCCAGUUCAUACUGGCGUAGGGACGGUGCGAGCGCUCGACG